rnacentral:lncRNA from 1 species
AAGCCACCCAACGAUGUCCCAGGAUGUCCCAAAGCCACCCCAGAGUGUCCCAGGAUGUCCCAGGAUGUCCCAAAGCCACCAGGACCCUCCAGCUCCCCCCAUCCCCUCCCCCAUCACUCCAGGCUCCUCCAUCCCCCUCCCCCAUCUCCUCCCCAGGANGUGGUGGAAACAUCUCAGGGGGGUUCGAGGGGACGCUCUGGAAGGGAUCCAGAUGCAGUUAUGGAGUCUCUGGGGGGUGAGGAACCCAUGGAGACCCCAAAACUUCUCCCAGCAUUGUCCUGAGGUUCUCCCAGGAUUGUCCCAGGUUCUCCCAGGUUCUCCCAGGUCCUCCCAGGUUGUCCCAGGUUCUCCCAGGUUCUCAGAUGCAGUUAUGGAGUCUCUGGGGUGGGAGGGACCCAUGGAGACCUCAAAAGUUCUUCUGGGCUGAGGGGAAGGGUGGGAAUUUGUGGUGGCCACAUCUCAGGGGGGUUUGUGGAGAACAAUGGGGACACUCUGGAACAGCUCCUGAUGUCAUUAUGGGGUCUCUGGGGCGUGAGGAACCCAUGGAGACCUCAAAAGCCCUGGUGGGAUGUUAAAGAAAUGGGAAAUUUGUGGUGGCCACAUCUCAGGGGGGUUUGUGAAGAACAAUGGGGACACUCUGGAACAGCUCCUGAUGUCAUUAUGGGGUCUCUGGGGUGUGAGGAACCCACGGAGACCCCAAA